rnacentral:lncRNA from 1 species
CAAAUCAACAAAUAUGCUUAAUAAAAUGCAAUGCAAAAAAGAGUUUACACAUAAUAUAUUAUUCCACCAGAACAUGAUAAAAUUGAAAUGAUACAGAGUAGAUAUGUAAGUUAGAAGUGGUAAAAUAAAAAGAUAAGUAACCCUAAGUUAAAAUAUCAUAUAAAAGUUGAUAUGUUACAUUGCAUCUUGCUUGCUUGCCGUGAUCCAGCUAGCACAUACCUAUGUAGAUAGGGCAGAUAGUACUGAAAGACCCCACUCAAAUNNNN